CACUGCAUAAAUGGGAUUCAAGUGUAGCUUGUUACCUAUUAGAACUCCAAGAGCAUAGCCAGUGGCACGUGGUGGCAUAACAGAAGAUGAUAAAGUCUGUUUUUUCAGGUUGAAUUUGCUGGCUUGAGCAGGGUCCCAGUUAGUAGAAUCAUCUAUAGACAAAUCAACCUCCACUUCUGUGCUUUGUGGUUUCACUCUAACCUCAUCACAUCGAUCAUCCAACUCAUAGGGUCUCCAGCACGGCCUCAAAGGAUAUUGCAUAACAUAUAGCUGAGUAUCCGAAUCUAUGGAGGGGGUGAAGAAGACGUCAAUUUCGCGAACAAUCAUGUCUUCUUCUUCUUCUUCAUCGUCUUCUUGUUUAUCUUCACCCAUGGGAUCAUCCAGCUUAGAAACUGCCCCGACCUCAGCCUUGGCAUCAAUUUCCAUUUU
rnacentral:misc_RNA from 1 species